GUCCACGCCCUAAACGAUGGCAACUGGGUGUUGGGGGAGCGAUUCCUCAGUACCGUAGCUAACGCGUGAAGUUGCCCGCCUGGGGAGGUACGGCCGCAAGGUUAAAACUCAAAGGAAUUGACGGGGACCCGCACAAGCGGUGGAUGAUGUGGAUUAAUUCGAUGCAACGCGAACAACCUUACCUACCCUUGACAUGUCCGGAACCCUGCUGAGAGGUGGGGGUGCCCGAAAGGGAAUCGGAACACAGGUGCUGCAUGGCUGUCGU
rnacentral:rRNA from 1 species